rnacentral:rRNA from 1 species
UACGAAGGGGGCUAGCGUUGUUCGGAAUUACUGGGCGUAAAGCGCACGUAGGCGGAUUGUUAAGUGAGGGGUGAAAUCCCAGAGCUCAACUCUGGAACUGCCUUUGAUACUGGAUGUCUUGAGUGUGAGAGAGGUAUGUGGAACUCCGAGUGUAGAGGUGAAAUUCGUAGAUAUUGGGAGGAACACCGGUGGCGAAGGCGACCGCCUGGACGAUGACUGACGCUGAGGCGCGAGAGCGUGGGGAGCAAACAGG